ensembl:lncRNA
AUGGAGCUGGGGUCACAGCAGGCAAAGAACAAGGAAGUAAACAACCGAGGGCAGUCUCGCUCUGUCGUCCGGGCUAAAGUACAGUGGUGCAAUCUCGGCUCAGUGCAACCCUCACCUCCCAGGUUCCAGAGAUUCUCAUAUUUCAGCCUCCCAAGUGGCUGGGAUUACAGGAAGUGUUGUCACCUGAUGGCUCAACAUAAACUGCCUGAGAUGGUGCCAGCUUUCGCGGGCAGCACUGGGCUUUGCUUGUGGCCAGGAGUCUCCUCUGCAGCUUCCUGAGCCUGGACAAAAGUCUUCCUGACAUGUUUAACUGUGACCAGUGCAAUUUUGGCUUUGACACUAUGCAAGAUUUUGGAACUUGAGAUAUGCUCUGUAAUGCCUACAAAGAACAAAAAGGAGCACUUAGGUUACAACAUGAAUUGUGUUUGGUUUACAUAAAGCAAGCAAAAAGGAGAAAGUCAUUAAAACAGCAUUUGUCAAGCCUGUAAUCCCAGCACUUUGGGAGGCCGAGGCGGGUGGAUCACGAGGUCAAGAGAUCGAGACCAUCCUGGACAACAUGGUGAAACCCCGUCUCUACUGAAAAUACAAAAAAAUUAGCUGGGCAUGGUGGCGCGUGCCUGUAAUCCCAGCUACUCAGGAGGCUGAGGCAGGAGAAUUGCCUGAACCCAGGAGGCAGAGGUUGUGGUGAGCCGAGAUCGCACCAUUGCACUCCAGCCUGGGUAACAAGAGCAAAACUCCGUCUCAAAAAAGAAAAAAAACCAGCAUUUGAUGUCUCUAAUAAACGAAGCCUAUUUAAAAAUGUGUAUGUACUUUUAAAAUGGCUCCAAAGUUGUGAAAUGAACAGACAGCAUCAUGAGCUGGUUCCUUGCAUUCCAGGGAAUACAGUUUGCCAGAUCCUUCAAGGGGAUACAUUAGGACACUCUGGGGUCUUGGUCUAAAUUGAUAUGAUUUUGAGAGUACCCGCUAUAGCCCUUCCAACAUCCCUGUAAAGCAGAUAUGAGAGUGCAUAAAAAGACGAAAACUAAAUUCACAUUCAUGAAACAAAUAAAUGCAAAACAAAGGCCAGCCCUUAAGCUGAGUUCAUCUGCUAACUCAAUUAGAGAAAUUUCCAUUCACUCCAAGGAAAAUGAAAAUGGAUGAAAGAGUAAAAUGAGUGAGCCGUGCUGGCUUUGUCAUUUGGAAGACAAACGGACACAGUGUCCACCCUCCAGAGCUGCCUUCGGCUCUGAAGUGGUGUCCACACCAGCCCGAGGUAGGGCAGCUACCCUUCCUGAGGGACCCUACCUCAUAGGCAUCGAAGGCUUUGCAGCCUGCUCACUUCCUUGUGUGUUAUUGCCCUUGUGCGUCUAUCCACAUUCAGAAACUACUUUUCCCUAUGGGCCAGGCUGGAACGAGAGGCAGUCUCUUCUGAAGGUGUGAUCGCCCAGGGUAGAAUCCUGUGGGCAGGAACAGAGAGCAAAGGGCUCGGCAGAUGAUUCAAGAGGCUUUUAGCUGUGAAGAAGAGAGAUUUCUGGGGGGCAAAUCAAUUCACCUCCUGGCUGGUUCUCUGAGCCUGUGGGGCCCUAGCCAGAGGACUCGUGGAACGGGCCUCAGAGCAUGGUGGGCCUGGGCGCUGUGCACCUCCUGACCCUGAGAGGCACUCCCAGCCGAGCCCAGAGAAAGAAUAAGUCGAAGCAUGCACAGGUCUCCGAGGCAUGAAGUCCAGUACAUGGAGAGAAGAGGGAGGUGGCAGGUGCAGACAUAUGCUCACACCCAUUUCCAUACAUGUGCUGGAUGUUACUUGGAACAGAAUUGUAAGGAGUUGUUGCUAGUUGGGAUGUGAAGAAGGAGGUAGAGGAAUCAAUGUCUGUGAUCCAGGAGGUGCCUCCUGCUUUGUUAGUUUCUCUCUCACCCCCUUGCUCUCCCUCCACCCUCCUCCUCCCCUUUCCUCUUUCUCUUCAUCUCCCCCUCUCUCUCCUUCCUUCUCUUCAAAGAUAAAGGUGUUCUUAUCCACAUUCCCCAGAUCCGCUCCUCUUUCCCAUCUGAUCCUCUCUGGCUUUCACUCUGCGUUCACGCUUCCUUGACUGAUAUUAACUCCAUGCUAAUUUCCACUCAAAUUACCACUGCAGAGUAAUUCUCUUCUCUCCAUCUCUUUCCAACUACUUUCUCAGGAAGGUAUAUUAAUUAGUCAUUGACCAGCCAAUGGACUGAAGAAACUUGGAGCCAGUUCCCAGCCCUGGUCAAAUCAACCAUGGCCUGGCUGGGUCAUAGGACUAAGUCACAGACACGAUGCCUUUACAGAACGGGGGAUGACGCAUUUCUCUAAAGUCGAUUAAGCUGAUCAAAAACAUGCAGACAAAGUUGUGUGCUGAGGACCAGAAUUAUUCAUCAUUCCACAACUUUCACAGGUCCAGGUUGGAAUGACAGGCUGCCUUGUCAUACAGAGGCAUACCCCUCAGAUCAGGACUCCCCAACCCCUAGACCACAGACUGGCACUGGUCAAUGGUCUGUUAGGAACUGAGCCACACAGCAGGAGGUGACAGCAGGCAAGUGAGCAUUACUGCUGAUUUUCACCUCCUGUCAGAUCCCCUGGGGCAUUAGAUUCUCACAGGAGCACAAACUGUGUUGUGAACUGAGCAUGCAAGGGACCCAGGUUAUGAGCUCCUUAUGAGACUCUAGCUAAUGCCUGAUGAUCUAAGGUGGAACAGUCUCAUCCCAAAACCAUCCCCCCACCACUGACCACAAAACCAGUCCCUGAUGCUUCCCAAAUGUUUGAGGACUGAUGCCUUAGAUGAUGAGGCUAGAGAAAGCCCCUGAGGCUCUGUCCUCUGCCCAGUUGACAUUCGUGAGACAAGAUAAGAGGAGGAGAUCCUCAAGGGGCACAGGAUGAGAACACACCACCCACACACUAUUCUUGGAAUAUACUUGGAAGUAGACAAUAACAAGAGCAAGGGCACAGAAAAUUAGGAAGAGAGUCAGGAAAAUAUCUCUGAAAACACGAUGCAUAUGC